CGGGGGGAGCAAGCGUUGUUCGGAUUUACUGGGCGUAAAGGGCGCGUAGGCGGCCACCGCAAGUCGACUGUGAAAUCUCCGGGCUUAACCCGGAAAGGUCAGCCGAUACUGCGGGGCUAGAGUGCAGAAGGGGCAACUGGAAUUCUCGGUGUAGCGGUGAAAUGCGUAGAUAUCGAGAGGAACACCUGCGGCGAAGGCGGUUGCUGGGCUGACACUGACGCAGAGGCGCGAAAGCUAGGGGAGCGAACGGGAUUAGAUACCCCGAUAGUCCUAGCCUUAAACGAUGAAUGCUUGGUGUCUGGGGUUUUAUAGUCCCCGGGUGCCGUCGCUAACGCUUUAAGCAUUCCGCCUGGGGAGUACGGUCGCAAGACUG
rnacentral:rRNA from 1 species